UCCCAUCCCAUCCCAUCCCAUCCCAUCCCAUCCCAUCCCAUCCCAUCCCAUCCCAUCCCAUCCCAUCCCAUCCCAUCCCAUCCCAUCGCUCCCGCUCGCCCCCUCUUUAUUUUUUUAAUCAGCGGCGUCGCUUUCUGGCGCCGAAGCAUUUCCCAGCCCCGCACUCAGGAAACCUCAUUAACACAGAUCAAAAGGAGCUUUUAAUGAUUUAUAAAGGUGCAGCAGUUUGGAGAAAUUAAAUAAUUUAGGUGCUGUGUGUACGGCGGGGUCCCUCCGGACCGCAUUACCGGCGCUCCGUGAGCCACGGCGCGUCCCCGCUCCGUCCCACCGCGGCCCCGGGGACAACGCCGCGGCCUCCGGGGGCUGAGAAUCGGCACUGCCACCGUCCCAGGGCUUGGGGUCGAUGGGGACGGGGCGUCCCCUGAAUGCCAUCUCAUCCCUGCCAGCGCCAGGGCUUGGCCAUGCUGGGAUGAUCCUCCGGCACAGCCUGGAGGAAGUUUGGGAGGUGCCACCCCAUGGAAAAUAUUCGGGAACAGGGUUAAAAUCAACCUUGGUGCUGGUGGGGUGGUGGGAUGGGGUGUGGGGUGGCCAAAUCGAAACUGGGUGGGCACAGGUGUCCAGGUGCAUCCACCGCCGUUCCCGAUCCCGGUGACUGAGCUCCUGAAUAUGGAGCCGGGCUCGGAGGUUCGGAGCUGAGAUAAAUAUCGGCAUUAAAGCUGUCAGGGCCGGCGCCGCGGCGCUCCCGCGGUGUCAGCGCCGGGGUCACCGAUGGUGGCACCGCUGGAACCGGACACUCCCGCUGGCCGCGGCUCCCAGCGACAUCCCUGGGGGGUUUCAUCCCAUCCCGCUGCUCUCCAAAGAGGGAAUUGUUCCCCAGAGCACCAGGAGGGCCGACAGCCCCAGCCCUGCCCGUGGUUUGGUUGGCGUUUCCAGGGCCGUGGUGGCAGCUGGGACCAGCGCGUUCCCGAGAUUCCCUGGUUGGAAAGCUCCGGGAAAGGGGAAAAGAAAGAGGAAGGGGAAGAGAAAAAGGGAAGGAAAACCGGAAAGGAAAAGGAAACUGAAAGAGAAGGGACGGGAAGAGAAAAGGAAGGGAAAGAACAUAAACGCGACAAGCAUCCCUAAAGCCCCUCCAGUGCCUGGCUGCCCCCCCCCCCCCCCCCCCCCCCCCCCCCCCCCCCCCCCCCCCCCCCCCCCCCCCCCCCCC
rnacentral:lncRNA from 12 species